rnacentral:rRNA from 1 species
GCAUAUCAAUAAGCGGAGGAAAAGAAACCAACAGGGAUUACCUUAGUAACGGCGAAGUGAAGCGGUAAGAAGCUCAAAUUUGAAAUCUGGCACUUUCAGUGUCCGAGUUGUAAUUUGAAGAAGGUAACUUUGGGAUUGGCUCUUGUCUAUGUUCCUUGGAACAGGACGUCACAGAGGGUGAGAAUCCCGUGCGAUGAGAUGCCCAAUCCUAUGUAAAGUGCUUUCGAAGAGUCGAGUUGUUUGGGAAUGCAGCUCUAAGUGGGUGGUAAAUUCCAUCUAAAGCUAAAUAUUGGCGAGAGACCGAUAGCGAACAAGUACAGUGAUGGAAAGAUGAAAAGAACUUUGAAAAGAGAGUGAAAAAGUACGUGAAAUUGUUGAAAGGGAAGGGCUUGAGAUCAGACUUGGUGUUUUGUGUACACUUUCCUUCUUGGAUUGUGCUUUCGCAUUACUACCGGGCCAGCAUCGGUUUGGGUGGUAGGAUAAUGACAUUGGAACGUGGCUCUACUUCGGUAGAGUGUUAUAGCCUUUGUUGAUGCUGCCUACCUAGACCGAGGACUGCGUCUUUUGACUAGGAUGCUGGCGUAAUGAUCUUAAGCCGCCCGUCUUGAAACACGGACCAAGGAGUCUAACGUCUAUGCGAGUGUUUGGGUGUAAAACCCGUACGCGUAAUGAAAGUGAACGAAGGUGAGGGCUCCUUUUGGAGUGCAUCAUCGACCGAUCCUGAUGUCUUCGGAUGGAUUUGAGUAUGAGCAUAGCUGUUGGGACCCGAAAGAUGGUGAACUAUGCCUGAAUAGGGUGAAGCCAGAGGAAACUCUGGUGGAGGCUCGUAGCGGUUCUGACGUGCAAAUCGAUCGUCGAAUUUGGGGUAUAGGGGCGAAAGACUAAUCGAACCAUCUAGUAGCUGGUUCCUGCCGA